UUACUGUUCAGAGCACAGUCACAGUUAAAAGCACCAUUUUAACUAGUCCUUACACUGUUCUUUAAAAUACAGCCUUCUCCAGAUGUGCUGACCCCUACGAUUUCCCCAAAUGUGGGAAACUCGACUGCAUAAUUUGUGGUAUUGGGGGACUAUGUUUGUGCUCUCCCCAG